GUAAAAUAUAUUAAAUGGUAUGUUUGUCUUGGGGUGAAAUACUUUCACUCAGAACACGAUGCAACUAACCAGGUUCAGGUAGAAAGAACGUGCUCAUUGAUUAACUUCCAAAGCCACCGUCAUCCUAGAGUCGGGACGAUAGCUUGCAGGUAAUCCAGGCCGGUGCCAGCCUCCCUCCCCUCGUCCCCUGAAAGAUGGCAGCACCUACCAUUAUGCGCUGAGAGGUCUCAACAUAUUUCAUACCUUCUUAACCCUCCGAAAGAUGGCAGUAGCAAGAAUGAGGCACUAGACAUGAAGGUAUGAGA